AAUUCUCAAAACCUUUUCUUUGAGAAAAGGAUUUUGGACUUGGAGGUUUUUAUGCUUGCUUUCGUGUCUCGAAAGUGAGCUCCUCUCAAAUGAAUUAGUGGGGUCUGCUUUGCUGGUCCUUGACGUGAUAAGAUGUUUUGACGUUUUGGACUUGGCACUGUCUCUUGGAUGCCUGCUUCUAACUGUCCAUCUCAUGGACAAUGAUGGUGCUCUGGUCUCUUCCAUCCACAUUGGUGGGAGGCUGGACCCACAAGAAA
rnacentral:misc_RNA from 1 species